AGAUAGCACCAUGAGGGGAUUUAUUUUACUUGCUGCUUUUGUUGCAUUGGCCAGUUUGAUUACAGUGGAAUCAGCUAGAUGUGGUCGGAGAGAGUACGACCCAAGAUUCUACACCUGUUGUGGAAGAAGACUACAUUUAGGAAGCGGACAGUCAUGUUGCGGGACGAGGGCUUAUAAUUACCGAAUAUAAACAUGUUGUGCGGGCAGACUCAGUCUCGAAAGCGGACAGUCUUGUUGUGGGAGAAGGGCUUAUAAUUACAGAAUGUACACAUGCUGUGCGGGCAGACUCAGUCUCGGAAGCGGACAGUCCUGUUGUGGAAGAAGAGCUUACAACCGCAGGACACAUUCUUGUUGUAAUGGAGUCGUUCGUCUUGGAAAUUGUUAAACGAUCUGUGUCCUUUUUGUAGAUAUAUUACAUAUCAAAAUGUCA